AGUGAACGCUGGCGGCGUGCCUAAUACCUGCAAGUCGAACGGAGUGGCGCACGCGUGAGUAAUAUAUCGCUAAUCUGCCCCUUGCUGGAGGACAACAGUUAGAAAUGACUGCUAAUACUCCAUAGCAAGGCAUGAGACUAUAUCGUAUCAGCUAGUCGGUGGGGUAACGGCCUACCGAGGCUAUGACGCGUAACUGGUCUGAGAGGAUGAUCAGUCAAAAGGGAACUGAGACACGGUCCAAACUCCUACGGGAGGCAGCAGUGGGGAAUCUUCCGCAAUGGACGAAAGUCUGACUGAGCAACGCCGCGGGAGUGAUGACAGCCUUCGGGUUGUAAAGGUCUGUUAAUCGGGACGCGGUACCGGAAUAGAAAGCCACGGCUAACUACGUGCCAGCAGCCGCGGUAAUAC
rnacentral:rRNA from 1 species